UUGCUUUCUCGAGCGAGUGGCGAACGGGUGAGUAACGCGUGAGGAACCUGCCUCAAAGAGGGGGACAACAGUUGGAAACGACUGCUAAUACCGCAUAAGCCCACGGGUCGGCAUCGACCAGAGGGAAAAGGAGCAAUCCGCUUUGAGAUGGCCUCGCGUCCGAUUAGCUAGUUGGUGAGGUAAUGGCCCACCAAGGCGACGAUCGGUAGCCGGACUGAGAGGUUGAACGGCCACAUUGGGACUGAGACACGGCCCAGACUCCUACGGGAGGCAGCAGUGGGGAAUAUUGCACAAUGGGGGAAACCCUGAUGCAGCGACGCCGCGUGGAGGAAGAAGGUCUUCGGAUUGUAAACUCCUGUUGUUGAGGAAGAUAAUGACGGUACUCAACAAGGAAGUGACGGCUAACUACGUGCCAGCAGCCGCGGUAAAACGUAGGUCACAAGCGUUGUCCGGAAUUACUGGGUGUAAAGGGAGCGCAGGCGGGAAGACAAGUUGGAAGUGAAAUCUAUGGGCUCAACCCAUAGACUGCUUUCAAAACUGUUUUUCUUGAGUAGUGCAGAGGUAGGCGGAAUUCCCGGUGUAGCGGUGGAAUGCGUAGAUAUCGGGAGGAACA
rnacentral:rRNA from 1 species